rnacentral:rRNA from 1 species
GUGUCAGCAGCCGCGGUAAUACGAAGGGGGCUAGCGUUGCUCGGAAUUACUGGGCGUAAAGGGCGCGUAGGCGGACAGUUAAGUCAGAGGUGAAAGCCCAGGGCUCAACCCUGGAAUAGCCUUUGAUACUGGCUGUCUUGAGUGCGGGAGAGGUGUGUGGAACUCCGAGUGUAGAGGUGAAAUUCGUAGAUAUUCGGAAGAACACCAGUGGCGAAGGCGACACACUGGCCCGUAACUGACGCUGAGGCGCGAAAGCGUGGGGAGCAAACAGGAUUAGAAACCCUAGUAGUCC